rnacentral:tRNA from 1 species
GGUCAGGUAGCCUACGGUUAAGGCAGCCGAUGCGUGUUAGGUCCGGAUCCAUUGGAUCUGGUCGCUGGUUCGAAUCCAGCCCUGACCA